rnacentral:lncRNA from 1 species
CCCCUUGAUUUAUUAAUCAUUUCUUCUAUAUUAUCUAUUAUUUUUCUUUCUCUAAAACAUGUAUUAUAUUCCUAUUAUAUCCCUGGCAACUAUCCUAAAACCUUCUUGUUUCUAUUACAUGCCUUCUCAUUUUGUUCUGUGGGUUCUGAGCUAUUAAUUUCACAUGAUCUGCCAAGCCACUAACUUGAUGCUGAAUACUGAUGACCCAGUCUUCCAAAUGCUUAAAUCAGUUUUCACAAUGUUAAUAUCAUGAUUUUAAUAACUUAAUUGGUGUUCCUCGAGGGCUCACAUUAUUGUGUUGUUAAGGUUGCUGUCUGCCAACUCCAAUAAUUCUGUUUCAGUAUGAGAAACCUAAUUCCUGAGUCCUAUUUGUAAUUCCUUCCUGUGGUGCCUUAUACUCUAUAGUAUGAGUUUUUUCCCUUUUCACAAAUUAUGAGAUGAAUUUGACAAGGGGUGAGAAGGCACACCUUUUUAUAUACCUCUGACCAGGCAGGAGACAAUCUUUUAACUUCCUACUAUGUGUGAGCAUCUCUGUACUGAACCAUUGCUGGUUAUUAGGAAAUCCUGUUCCAGUCCCCAACUUGGAACAAAUUCCUGUGCUUCAGGGGAUGCAGAUGAAGCAUUCUGCCUCAAAUACCUUCUCCACUUUUGAUGUUAAAAAUAACCUAGGAGUUCCUGCUGUGGUCAGUGGGUUAAUGAUCUGUCCUAUCUCUGUAGAGGCAUCAGUUCGAUCCCCAGCUCAGGGCAGGGGCUAAGGAUCUGGCAUUGCUGCAGCUAUGGUGUCGGUCACAGCUCCAGUUGUGAUUUGAUCUCUGCCCCAGGAACUUCCACAUACCAUGGGUGCAGCCAAAAAAGAAACAAACAAACAAACUCUUGUCUUAGAAGUUCCCAAGUGGCAUAGCUGGUUAAGGAUUCGGCAUUGUCACUGCAGCGGCUCAAGGGUGUGGAUUUGAUGCCUGGCCUAGGAACUUCCACAUGCCUUGGGCAUGGCCAAAAAAAAAAAAAAGAAAAAAAUUCUUGUUUUAUCCCAGAGAAGACAAGAGAUAGAAAAAGGUGGAUAUAUUUUUUUCCCUCAAAAUACCUCACUCAAUAAAAUUAACUCUUCAAAUAAAAUAAUGAAAUAUGACUAUUUAGGAACAUUAUAUAGAUUUAAAUAUUAACAUAAAUAAUAUUUCAGUCUGGUUUUCAAAAAUUCAUGUGCAAACUCCUGUAUCAUUCGCCCAGGUUUAAUGUGUGGCCUGAUCUUUUGUUAUCAGCACCUAUUGGGGUAGGGGUGGAGGCAGGAAGAAGAAGGAAUGUAAGAAGUGGUAUAUUUACCCUUUAUGAUACUGCUUUUAGCAAAGCAGUAAUUCUAAGGUCCCUCCCCUUUAUUCUCUCAUUCAACCUCAUGAAGGAAUGAUACUUAGGAAACAAUUAAAUCUAACUUUGGUGGAGAGAUGCUGCUGACUACAGAAUAGGUUCUGGAAACUUGUCAAAUAAAAGGAGCUCAUAAAAAAUUGACCCCUCCUCUUAUAUGUAAUACAUCAUUCUCACAAGUAUGAGCCUCAUUUAGGAAGCCUCCUAUAUGAAGCACUGGCUGGGCACUAUAGCAUGGCGAUUGGUCAGUUUCAUUGAGGUUAGUCCAUAACUCACAAGGUUCUUACUUUCAGAAGUAUAAUGACAGUAAAAUACAUGUUUAGACAAAAAAGUUUACUUUUUUUUUUUCCACACAAUAAAUUCUGUAAAUUCUGUGAAGACUAUUAAGUAGGUUAACUGUUGCUGGUGAAACGAAUAUAUUUAAAAACAGAUAAAGGGACAAGAAUACUCAGAGCUUCUUGUUCACAUAUUAACCCAAGUAGGUGGCAGUAGAACUGUCUGUUGCUCAAUCCAGUCACUAAAGGAUCCUGGUGGUGGGCAGGUCUACCACCUUCAAUAUGUAGUUUCCAAAAUUGCUUUGUGACUUGUCUUCAUUGUUGUCAGGAGAGGGAAGAGCACAGAUGACUGGAUAUCUAUGAGGGUUUAAACAAGCCAGUCUGGAAGUGGUUCCCACCAAUUCUACUCAAGUUCCAUUGACUAAGAUGUAGUCACAUGGCCCACCCAACUGCAAGGGAGGCCAGGAAAUAUAGUCCAGCUCUAGGCCUACAAAGAAGAGGAAGUUCGGUCGCUGUUUCCCAGGCUUAAACUAAAAUUUUGAUAAAUACACAAAUAUCAGUUUAACAUAAUGUAAACAUAGUUUAACAUUAAGGAUGAUCCAUACUUAUCUAGAAGCAAGGAUGAAACUGGUUCAGUAUUUUUAUUUUUUCCACUCCUAUAAACCACACUUCUAAAACGUUCUAUAUGGGAAGGCAGCUUGUAGGAAAUGCACAUUUUUUCUUUUGAGAGAAAUGUCAUAGUUCACUCCAGCUUUUGGUGGAAAGCAAAUAUUGAGGAAAAAUGAUACACAGCACAGGGCACUCUACCCAAUAUUCUGUGAUAAUUUAUGUAGAAAAAACAAUCUGAAAGAAAAUGGAUGUGUGUGUAUAUGUAUAACUGAAUCACUUUGUUGUACAGCUGAAAUUAUCACAGCAUAGUAAAUCAACUAUACUUAAAUAAAACUUUUAAAAAUGAAAAAAAUGAUAUAUGUUGGAAAUACCUAAAUUUUUUUAUUCUAUUAUUUUGUAGUAGCAAGCACUUCUCUUUCAUUUUGUCUGGUGAAGUUUGCACUACCAGUCUGCCACUGCACAUGGUUCUUGUGGGAAUGGCAGCAGAUCUGCUCCAAAGCCCUGCCCCCAAUUAAAUGUCUGCUGUGUGUAGAACUAUGCUAAUCAAACUAUAGCCCUGGGCAUGAAAGACUUAUAUGGCCUAAUACAAGGCCAUAAUGUUGUGAAUAAAUAAUUCUAGUUAAUUAUGAUGUCAGUGCCCUGAAUAAGAGUCACUCAGUUCAGCUGCUCAGACUAAUGAGUUCACUUGGUGUUUUUCCUACCCAAAGCCUAGUUUUUAGACUUCCAUUGAUACAGUGAGAGGUAUCUCUCCAAUAUACACUUCACAUUUUUUAAAAUUGAUUUUUGCUUAAAUUAGUUGGAAUCAGGAUCUUUUUGCUCCCUUCUUAGGAACUAACUCAAACACUAUGUAAGGUGCUAGGCCAUGCAGAGAAAACACAAUGCAUUAGUCCCGUGUGUACAGUUAAAAGGGGUACAAUUUUAGCAACUGUGUUUGACCAGUCUUUUUUGGUAAAUAAUUACUAAAUAGAAUUGUGCAGAUACGUGUUCUUAGUGGUACCAGAUGUCAUUCAAGCAGGUAAAUAAAUAAAUAAAUAAAAUUGUAAGAUUCAGUGGGAAGGAAAACGUAGCCUGUCUGUACAGGAACAUGCCACAUUUCUCAGUGAUGUGUGUUAUUGCUCAUGUUCGAUUCUCAAACAUCCCUUCCACAUAAGGUCUAGGAACUAAAAAUCAUAUUUUUGGGAAUCAAAAGCCACCAGGUUCAUGGCUUCAGCUUCUACCCAGAAGGAAAAAUCAGUAAGUGCUGUUGACUACCUGUCUACUUACUCUACAGAGACAUUAGUUUUAUGACCUUGGGGCAUUUUAUUUUGAGGCCAAGAGACAGCAAUUGAUAAUUAAAAUUCUCAUGCUACAGCUAUUUUUAUUUUUACAGCUUAAAAAUAUUUAAUUGGCAUGUACCCUGAGGCUUUUUGCAAUAGGUUUAUCUUAACAAAUAAUAAUCAACAUUACAAGCAAUAUUUUAAUUUCUUAGCAAUUUAACUGUCCAACUUUUAUGUCUGCUUUCUUAUUUUUGUCAGUCUAAAGAAAGCUGAUAUAACAGAUGAAUAUAAUCAGAAUUAACAUAAAAGGGCCUAAGAAAAAUUAAUUAAAUUGAUUAAGCAGCCAUCUCAAAAUUAACAUUUAAAAAGCAAAACUGGGUACUACAAAUUUAUUUUGUAACUAGCCUAUCCACUUGACUUUGAAUAUAUGUUUAUAGCAAAGGCCUAAGGCUAUUAUAUACAUACGUCAAUCUCUGGUAUGACAAUGUUAAUAUCCUAAACUCAGAACCAUCCAUAUAGCACCCAUAACAAUCAAACUACCAUAAACCUUGACUCCACAGUCAGUGAUACUUAGUACACAAGAAAAAGUAAAGUUUUAGGCAUUUUUGACCAUAUAAUGAACCUAGGAGCUUCAGAUACACUCAUUCAAAUUUGGAUUAUUAUUGCCAUUUCCAUUCUGAAGGUAAUAACACUAAUUCAAAAACUUUCUCCCUCUCUUUUUCUUUCUCUUUCUUCUAUCUUGCUCUCUCUCUCUUCCACUCAUCUGUGAAAUCAGUCUCAUUUGAUGCUAACACUUGCAAACCUGCAAUUCCAACAUUUGGAUUUUUCUUAAUGUCUGACAUAACAUCCCUUUAGUUAGUAAUAUGUGUAUGCAUGUAGAUAUGUUGUAAUAUUGACCUGACUAUACUGAUCUAUCUUCUUGAGCAUCAAUAAACCAGCAACAUACAUACAGAAAUCUCAAAUACUUUGAAAUAUUUGAGCUGUUACACUAUAUACAGACAGCUAAAUUUAGUUCAGUGAAAGUUAGUUCAAUCACAAAUUGAAAGAUGAGAAAUACAUAUAAAGUUAAUGAGAGAAUCAGAAUACAGUCUUUCUACUGUAACCCCUGGACUGAAAAAACAUGAUAAAUAUUCAUUACAGUGAGGAAUCCACUGAUCUCCAAACAGGCUGUAACUUAAGAUUAGCUUAGCCUCUUAACCUAAACCUCUUUUUAAGAGAGAAAGCUAUGGUGAAGGAAACAGUUACAUUAGUGGUCUGAGAAAUGAAAAGAAUAUCAAGGCCAGAAAAGAGAUUAAAAUAUCAUGAUUUGGCAAGGCCUUGGAUUGGGUUAUUAGCAAACAAAGUCCAAAUGCUGCUUUAAGAAGAAAUUAAAGGUUUUCACAAUGCGGAAACUUCAAGCCAUUCUUGCAAUGGGAAGAACAGAUAUUUAAGGUACUUUCUAGCAGUGCACAUGUGCCUUUGAGACACUUGAGGGUGGAACAUCUACAAGGACAUCUUCUCUUGCUAAUAUGGAUUACUUUUCCUAUAUACACCUGGAUGUCUUAUUGUGCCAAAGGAUCUAUCCCUACUAAAGAGAAGAGGAAAAAGAAAAAAUGGCUUUUUUCCCCCCUCAGCUAUCAGAUCCAAAGCAUUUUUGGUUUGACAUAUUUCCAUUUGGAACUUUGUCCAACUUCCCUAAAUAGUAUUUUAAGUGAAAACCAUUACUGUGUUUCACUUUUAGAGGUAAGGUGGGUUAGCUUCUUGCUAUUGAGAGUUGCAGGGUAAUUCACUAUUUUUGGUAUCAUUUUGUAUUUUUUAUAGUUUUGUAAAUAGCCUGUCACUUUUUAGUGUGUCAUCUGUUUCUAUUUGAUUCAGAGUCCUCAAUUCCUUCCCUUUUACAUUCUAUAGUGAAAUGAUCAGCAAAUACAAAUAUUUCUACUUUCAAAUCCUAUCCAUAAUCUUAUCUUACCAUAUGCACUGCCAACCACCUCCUAGUGCUUCCCCUUUUAUGCCCUGGCACAGUGAGGCUGACUCUACUUUUAUCACCUCUGAAGUAAAAGGACAAGGCUAUCCACAGCUGAAGCUUUAGGACAUUGGAGACAAGAGAUACCAAGAUCUUCCAACUGCACCUGAAGGCUAAGAGGACUGACAGUUCUUUUCAUCACCCAGGGGUACUCUGCACUAGUCAAAGCCACAUCAAUCCCUGAAUUAUGGCAAGAGCCUUCUGCCUGCUCUCCCAGCCCCAACUCAUUCCUUUGUCAGAACAGAUGGAGUUACCAUUUGAACCAAGCUUCAUAUCACCUCAUUACAGACCUAAGACUUCCAGUGGCUUUCCGUUACAGGUAGAAUAAAAUCGAAACUACAGGACCCAUUAUAAAGCCUGUCUCCCAACAACCCCCCACCACCUUCUCACCUACACUGUGUUACUAGACACCUGCUACAAUCCUUCUUAGUUGUACCUCAGAAACCUCUUGGUUAAUACUCAUUGCACAUUUUCAAUUGUUCCUUUUCCUUUGAACACUCCCUCAGAGCCUCAUUACCUUGUAUACCUCAUGUACUACUUAAUUCAAGUGACACCUCCUUAGAAAGCUCUUUCAUAGUCCAACUGAAAUAAAAUCCUGCACCAAUCUCUGCUAUAUCAUUGACCUUAUUUUCCUUGUAGUUUAUAUUAACCAGUAAACUUAUCCUAUAUAUUGAUUUUACCAUUUUCUGUCUUCUCAUGUAGAAUAUGGGCUCUUUGAGGGUCAAGAUACUGUCAUGAAUCUACAACUGGAAGGACAGAACCUGAUUCAUAGUAGGUAUUCAAAAUUAUAUGUUUAUGGUUGCUAUCUGACUUGACUUGCAAAGCUUAAAUCUUUAAGCCUCUUAUUCCUAUCCUUUGAACUGGAACUAAUUGCAUUGCUAAUCUAUCAUUGUGUGCAUUUGAGGAUUAAUUGACAUUUAUGUAAAAGUAUUUAGUGUUUUACAAAAGUCUAAACAUAACACAAGUGAUUGUUGUGGGUGGUACGCUGGAGCCAGCCCCAAGGUGCAAAAGCUAUUAAAUUUUCAGAAAUGUUGGGAGCUGGCUGACAUCACAUUACUGCUUGAAAGUGGCUACACUGUAAAUACACCAUGGAAAUCAGAAAAUACACAGUAAGAACUUCAAAGAACUGGAAAAUAUCAAAAAGAACCACAUAGGAGUUCCCAUUGUGGCUCAGUGGUUAACGAAUCCGACAAGGAUCCCUGAGGUUGCAGGUUUGAUCCCUGGCCUUGCUCAGUGGGUUAAGGACCCAGUGUUGCUGUGGCGUAGUCUGGCGGCUACAGCUCCAAUUAGACCCCUAGCCUGGGAAUCUCCAUAUGCUGCGGGAGUGGCUCUAGAAAAGGC